rnacentral:rRNA from 1 species
GACGAACGCUGGCGGCGUGCUUAACACAUGCAAGUCGAACGGAAAGGCCCUGCUUUUGUGGGGUGCUCGAGUGGCGAACGGGUGAGUAACACGUGAGUAACCUGCCCUUGACUUUGGGAUAACUUCAGGAAACUGGGGCUAAUACCGGAUAGGAGCUCCUGCUGCAUGGUGGGGGUUGGAAAGUUUCGGCGGUUGGGGAUGGACUCGCGGCUUAUCAGCUUGUUGGUGGGGUAGUGGCUUACCAAGGCUUUGACGGGUAGCCGGCCUGAGAGGGUGACCGGCCACAUUGGGACUGAGAUACGGCCCAGACUCCUACGGGAGGCAGCAGUGGGGAAUAUUGCACAGUGGGCGGAAGCCUGAUGCAGCAACGCCGCGUGCGGGAUGACGGCCUGCGGGUUGUAAACCGCUUUCGCCUGUGACGAAGCGUGAGUGACGGUAAUGGGUAAAGAAGCACCGGCUAACUACGUG